rnacentral:rRNA from 1 species
UGGGGAAUCUUGGACAAUGGGCGCAAGCCUGAUCCAGCCAUGCCGCGUGAGUGAUGAAGGCCCUAGGGUCGUAAAGCUCUUUCGCCAGAGAUGAUAAUGACAGUAUCUGGUAAAGAAACCCCGGCUAACUCCGUGCCAGCAGCCGCGGUAAUACGGAGGGGGUUAGCGUUGUUCGGAAUUACUGGGCGUAAAGCGCACGUAGGCGGACUAGAAAGUAUGGGGUGAAAUCCCAGGGCUCAACCCUGGAACUGCCUCAUAAACUCCUAGUCUAGAGUUCGAGAGAGGUGAGUGGAAUUCCGAGUGUAGAGGUGAAAUUCGUAGAUAUUCGGAGGAACACCAGUGGCGAAGGCGGCUCACUGGCUCGAUACUGACGCUGAGGUGCGAAAGUGUGGGGAGCAAACAGGAUUAGAUACCCUGGUAGUCCACACCGUAAACGAUGAAUGCCAGUCGUCGGGUAGCAUGCUAUUCGGUGACACACCUAACGGAUUAAGCAUUCCGCCUGGGGAGUACGGUCGCAAGAUUA